GAAUUCCUGGUGUAGCGGUGGAAUGCGCAGAUAUCAGGAGGAACACCGAUGGCGAAGGCAGAUCUCUGGGCCGUAACUGACGCUGAGGAGCGAAAGCAUGGGGAGCGAACAGGAUUAGAUACCCUGGUAGUCCAUGCCGUAAACGUUGGGCGCUAGAUGUAGGGACCUUUCCACGGUUUCUGUGUCGUAGCUAACGCAUUAAGCGCCCCGCCUGGGGAGUACGGCCGCAAGGCUAAAACUCAAAGGAAUUGACGGGGGCCCGCACAAGCGGCGGAGCAUGCGGAUUAAUUCGAUGCAACGCGAAGAACCUUACCAAGGCUUGACAUACACCGGAAACGGCCAGAGAUGGUCGCCCCCUUGUGGUCGGUGUACAGGUGGUGCAUGGUUGUCGUCAGCUCGUGUCGUGAGAUGUUGGGUUAAGUCCCGCAACGAGCGCAACCCUCGUUCUAUGUUGCCAGCGGGUUAUGCCGGGGACUCAUAGGAGACUGCCGGGGUCAACUCGGAGGAAGGUGGGGAUGACGUCAAAUCAUCAUGCCCCUUAUGUCUUGGGCUUCAC
rnacentral:rRNA from 1 species